GCUGCUGUCAGUGGUGAUGGAUGGAUGUGUGUGCUGUAGAGUUGUGGCAUCUUAAUUGUUUACAUAACAUGCUAUUUUCUCUCUCAAAAGACUCUGUCUGGGAAGGAUGAAGGUGUGCAUAUUUUAUACUCCUCUUUUGCAUGCAUUUUAAAGGCAUUGAUAAAAGGAGUCCUGGAACUAGUACAGUCUGCUAUCUUCUGUCGGCCCUUGUUUCUUGGGCCCUGAGUGACAGCUCUUCAGAAGUGAUAAUUGGUGUACUGUAUCUUUAAAAGGUUAAAACCUCUUUCAAAAAAAAAAAAAAAGGCCUGGACUCAUAGUGGAAAAGACAAGCGGGGCUUUGGUUGGCUCUGGAUUCAGAAAACAGCUGCUGAUUAGAUUCUGCGUCUGCAGGCUGAAUUCAUUCCGUGUUUUUCAGCAGCAGGAAUUCGAGAGGGAUGCUUCUGUUUGGGUUUCUGAUCGUGAUUUAUAUUUAUUCAGAGGAAUAACAGAGGAUGGAUUUGUUCCCGGCCGGAGCAUGCUCACAACCAACAGGCUCUCCCAUGAUCCAACUGCCCAGUUUGGUGCUUUAAUGUGUUAAUGAAAAAAUGCACACAAUCCUGACAGAUGGGACUGGUUCAUGAAGGAGGGGACGGCCAGCUCAGUGUUUCAGAGACCACAGGACCAGCUUCCCAUCCAGAGCAAAGAUUGGAAACCAGUUCCAGGGAGAUUUCUAUGGUACAUAACAGAAAGUGUAUUGGCCUUAGGUCCAGGACUAUCGGCUUCAAAUCAACACUUCUCAGUGUUGGAAUGAUGGGCAAGUCAUUUAAACUCUUCUGCAUCAUCCCCUUCCCAACCCCCCCCCAAUUCCUUUAUUUUUGUAAUGAGGAUAAUCAUACUUGCCACACCUACUUUGCAGGGUUGUCAUGAGGAAGGUGCUUUGUAAAUACUAUCUGGAGAACUUUUUAGAACAAUUAUCUAAAGCAGGGGUGGGAAACCUGGGGCCUUGAGGCCACGUGUGGCCUUCUAGAUACUUAAGUGCAGCCUUUUGACUGAAUCCAAAUUUUAUAGAACAAAUCCUUUUAGUAAAAGGAUUAGAUUCUAAAGCAAUGCUUGUCUACCAGGCUCUGGGUAGCUAUGGUUUUUCCAUGCCCUCUUUCUGAUAUUGAGAGAGUGUCACUAAACAAAUAUUUGUUGGAGACUCCCUUAUAAGAGAAAAUUUAAUACAGAAAAUUGAAAGUCCUACAUUUGGGUAAAAAAAAAAUUCAUCAGUAUAGCAUGGGGAAGAAAGGGCUGGACAUUCUGGGUGAAGAAGAUCAGGGGAUUUUAGUGGAAUGUAAGCUCAAUAUGAAAUAUGAAAGCUUUUGUUUCUUGUUUUCAUUGAAGAUUGCCUUGGUUUAUCCACAGACCAGUCUCUAAAGGUCUUAUAGAGAAAAAGAAGCAGGGACAGAUAGCUCAAUAAGUAGAUCAAUCAACAGAUAGAUUCUCCUGUUAUCUUAGUUGCCUUAUUUUGAUAAAAAUGCCAUCCAUGAUUUUCCACUCAUGGUAGAUGAUUCCUCUCAUUGGAAGUCUUCAGACAAGCUGGGUGACAACUUUUGGGUAUGUUGUAGAGAAGGGGUGUCAAACACAAAUAGAAUCAGGGGCUACUGGUGUACAUAUGUUCACUUAGAAAACCACAUAUUAACAUUUUCUGUAUUUUGCUGUAUUUUUAUUUAUUUCAUUAAAUAUCUGCCGAUUACAUUUUAAUCUAGUUUGGGCCUCACCAUGCAUUUGAUACCCCUGUUGUAGAGGAGGGGAUUUCGGCUCAGGUGCAAGUUAUACAAGAGGUGUUGUGAUGGAGGGGAAAGAGCACUGAAUUUGGAAUCUCUGUUUUUGGGGAGGCUGAGGCGGGUGGAUUGCUUGAGUUCAGGAGUUCUGAGCUGCCAUGGGC
rnacentral:lncRNA from 1 species